GUAUAGUCUGCAUAACAGUCAGUAUAACAUAUUCUCCUUACUACUAAAAUGUUUUCAGCCCACAUUGACUCGUUGAGAAGUAAACAAUUCAACAGACUCCCUAUACGGCCUUUCUGUUGCUUAAUUUUGCCACUAGCAAACCAGUUUGCCCAGCAGUUGUCGUCCAGCACUCACCCACACAACUGUAGCUGAACAUGAGUAUGGGCUCAAAUUAAUGCCAAAAUAUUUUGUACUUGUAAGCAAUGGCUUGUGCUUGCAACUUAUGGUUCGUGUUUGUACUCUGCAAGUUGAACCUGUAAAAAAAUGUUGUGUUUGUGGAUAUAGAUUUUCGUGAGGGGGAGGGUCACGUCUGUAAAUUAAAAUCUACAUGUGUUUUGUGA